rnacentral:rRNA from 1 species
UACGUAGGGGGCUAGCGUUGUCCGGAAUCAUUGGGCGUAAAGCGCGUGUAGGCGGCCCGGUAAGUCCGCUGUGAAAGUCGGGGGCUCAACCCUCGGAUGCCGGUGGAUACUGUCGGGCUCGAGUACGGAAGAGGUGAGUGGAAUUCCCAGUGUAGAGGUGAAAUUCGUAGAUAUUGGGAAGAACACCAGUGGCGAAGGCGGCUCACUGGCUCGUAACUGACGCUCAGGCGCGACAGCGUGGGGAUCAAACAGG